GCAACCGCGAAUGGCUCAUAUAACAGCUAUAAUUUACUUGAUCUUGACACAAUCCUACUUGGAUAACUGUGGUAAUUCUAGAGCUAAUACAUGCAUUAAAGCUCUGACCUCACGGGAAGAGUGCAUUUAUUAGAACAAAACCAAGCGGCUUCGGCUGUUUCUGGUUGACUCAUAGUAACUGAGCUGAUCGCAUGGUCUUGCACCGGCGACGUGUCUUUCAAGUAUCUGCCGUAUCAACUUUCGAUGGUAGUGUAUCUGACUACCAUGGUGAUCACGCGUAACGGAGAAUAAGGGUUCGGCUCCGGAGAGUUCGCCUGAGAAAUCGCGAACACAUCUAAGGAAGGCAGCAGGCGCGAAAAUUACCCACUCUCAGCACGAGGAGGUAGUGACGAAAAAUAACGAGACCGUUCUCUUAUGAGGCCGGUCAUCGGAAUGGGUACAAUUUAAACCCUUUAACGAGUAUCUAUGAGAGGGCAAGUCUGGUGCCAGCAGCCGCGGUAAUUCCAGCUCUCAAAGUGCAUAGAAUUAUU
rnacentral:rRNA from 1 species